UGUACACAGGGAUAGACUUGCCUGCUAAACAGAGUUCUUUUCCUGCUUACUUGCCACCUUGUUCCCAUUGUGCUUGAGGUGCCUCCAAUCAAGCCAUCUUCAGCACAGUCUUCUUGGAGAGAGCACCAGGUUUCUCUGAUCUUAAGAUGGAAAUCAGAAAUAUUCAUAUCUUUCUUUCUGUUCAAACCUUUUGGUUUGGCUGGUGGUUUUUGUUUCCAGACAAGAAAUAGGGUUUGCUGUUUAAUAAAUUGACCAAGGUGGAAAUCUACAUCAGACAUCCCAUUUUUUUUAAGUUGUAGUCCACUUUCUAAACACAUUUUUUAAAAAAUCUCAGAAUCAUGAUAGUUCUAAGCUCUUGGCAAAGGUAGGCUUCUUUUGGUUGCUCAGAGUAUAGAAAAUGUUUUUUGAGCAAACUGCUGGUUUUUGCUUCAGGUGGCUGGUGCUCUGGCUGGCUCUGUCAACUGUAGAAGGAAAAGACUUAAACCUUUUCCAAAGAGAAGAAAAGAGAGAUGUCAAUGUGGAGCUGACAGAGACAGACACUGAACCUGUUGAUGACUACACUGAGUUUCCAGCUGGAUGCAUCACAAAAAUGGCAAAGCGGUCCACUUCCUUUGGUUUAUCACAGCUUAGAGGCACAGAUAGCCAAGAAACCAACUGUCAGAUUGUCCCAGUAACAACUACAAUACCUCCAGUCACCAAGGCACAAACUACAACCAAAGAUAUGAAGAAGAAAACUCACACAAUUGAAACAGAAUCGUCAGAAGAUAGACCUCGAGUUUUAUAUUUUCUGCCCUAUUUUCCACGUCCAUCACACACUGUCUUUAAUAUUAUAUUUCCUUUCAAUAAAGGUGCCACUGGUUAUAACACUAUCUGGAAUAACAAAUUAUUGAGAGAUGACUCUUCUGAAGAAAAGAGAAGGAAAAGAGACACACUAAUGGUUAAGAAAAAAGCAAGACCUCUAUGAAGUGACAAGAUGAUUCUUUGCAAUGCUCACUUUUCUUUUCUUUUUUUCCUUUUGGCAAUCACAAAAAAGACAUUAAACAAUGAUUUUAUAACCAAGACUGAAACUAAGAGUGAAUCAACAGCCAAGAGUGAAUCAACUAUUGGACAUAUCAAUUUUUGAAUCUUUAAAUAAGCAAAACAAAUUUUACUUAUGAACAAUUUAAAAUAAGGAGAAAAGUUUUCUCAUUGAUGAUGAAUAGAAUUCUACAAUCCUUUGUCAUCAUACAAAGGGACCAGUUAAUUUUCCUUACUACUAGUUCUACCAGGACGCAACAACCUUAACUGGAUCAAAAGUCACUAUUUUCAGACAACAAUAAUCAGAGACUGGAGACAAAAAUAUCUAGUGUUCAGUAAGAACAGAUAACAGGAAUAUAUUUUGCCUUAGCAGUCUCUUCUCUACCAGUUAGGCAGGAAGCAGUGGAUAUAAAACAGAAAAGGAGAUUAAUUUGGGGGAGAAAAACCAUUCCAAAUGCUGGUGUAGGAUUUACAUUUCCUACUCAUUCUCCCAUCCCUUUCUGUAUCUUCCUUCCAAGCAAAUACACUCCCCUCCCCAGACCCACACCUACACAUUGCAUUUGCUCCCUAAACCCUUCCUGCUACCACUCUUUUUUCAGCAUUCCAGAAAUGGCCCAUAGAAAAACAGUUAUACAUCUUGCAAGGAAUUCAAAGCUGUUAAUGAGAAAGAAUAGUAACUACAUGGAAGACAACCAUUGCCAAACUACAAUUCCAAUAGAGAACACAAGACAACUCAGGAGGGAAGACAGGAAAUAAAGGAAUACAUCCAAGGGAUUGGAGACAUCCCUGGUAGCCAUAACCUACAGUCAGGAUUGCAGACAGCUAAAAAGAAAUCUCUCCUCUACCAAUUAUAUCAAACAAUUGGUAUUAUGAGACCAGGGUACUUGGGAGUAAUUCCUUGUGCUCUUCAUCCAUCAGAAUGGCAUCAUGCAUGGCACCCUUAAAAGGCAAACCAGGGAUAUUAUCCAGUAGUACAACCUCCUACCUCAGGACAUCUGCUCCAAAAACAUGAUGUUAGUAGAAAAGCUUUUUCAUUCGUUUUUCUCAUAUGGUCUAAGCUGCAGCAUGGAUUUCUGGUUGGGGAAUUCUGUGAGUUGAAGUCUACAAGUUUUAAAGUUGCCAAAUUUUGAGAGUUGUGACAGACGAUUACAAUGUCUCAGGUCUUCUUCCAUUUCUUAUGUGCAUGGAUUUAGACUGUGAGAAGUAGGUACUCCACUCCAUUCUUCAUGGUGCUCUAGGUGAAAGCAAGAUGCCAGAUGGGGUGGGAAGAGUAAGUGGAAUUUUUUAUUAUUGUGCUAUGAGAUUUGAUAGCAAGAAGACUAUUUCCUGGCUGUUUCCUUUUAGUUAUAACUAUUAUGGGCAGAGUGAUCUUGCCACAUAAGAAGGGUUUUAUUUUCACUUGGGAAUAGUUGGGAUCUUGAGUCCCAUGAUUGUAUCCAUAUUCAAAUAUUCUUCAGUUAACUUUGGAAGUGUGUGAGUCACUUAAGUUAGGGAUGCUACUUUUAUUUUUUCUCCUUUAUCUGCUUUCAUUACUGCAUGUGCUUUCAGAUAUGACUUCUAAGUAUCCUGAUGGAAAAGAUAGGUUGGUUCUUAUGCAAGCAAGCAGGACCUAUUCAGUGCCUUUUGUGUUCUACUACUGCCUUACAAAAUGCUAACCAUGGCUUUUUCUAUUUUUUCUAUCUCUUUGGGUCAAUUCAUUUUCAAAUGGGGCAAUGCAUAACCGCGCAGGAGUAAGGGGGAGUUAGUCCAUCUGGAUCAACAGAUGUUUUACAACCAGAACGCUCAGAACGGAGUUCCGGCACCUUUUUUGGGUGGAACCUUGUAGGGUAGGCAAGGCAGGUUGUAUGAUAUGUGUGAGUUCCGGCACCUUUUUUUUUUUUUUUUUUAGAAAAAGAGCACUGUUUACAACAUAUUUAUAUCUGUCUUCCCCAAUCUAUUUAUGUGUGUCAUGAGAAUAGGUCUAAAGAGUAUUAUACCCUGAUGUUUUCUUUUUAAGCUUUUAGAGGAAAAACCGAAACCUACUAUAUUUUCUUUUACACAACAGAAUUUAGUAAAACACUAAGACAAGUAUUGGAAUUCUUUGCCACCUCUAGUAGUCAUCAGAUUUUUGCAGUUCUGAUCUGAUAGACUUAGAUUACCUUCCAGAAGUGAUAUAAGGCCUGAGUAACCUGAAAAUGUAAUGGUUGGUCCUCGCUGAUUGUUUUUUUCUGGCUUUCUCUACUUAGGUGGCUUUUGGCAAAGAAUGAAAUGAGAAAGAAGGCUAUAGGUCUCCUCUCCCUUCCUUAGCAAAUGUCACAACCAUAUUCUGUGGUUAGGGAUCAAGGAAUUAGGGACCAAUAACCUUACAGACUGCUCAUUAAACUACAAUUUCCAGGAUUCUUGUGGGGAAAGAUUUCACACAACAUAUAAUGUUCUAAUUUUUCAGUGAUUUGUUGAUUUUGGGUAAAUUUUGGAAUGUUAUACAAGAACCAAAUCAAUUAAGCUUUCUUCAAUAAGAAGAAAGAAAAUCUAGGAAAAGGAAUCACUGUUAACUAACAACUGUAGAUUUGGAGUAUGUGUCCCCUACAGCAAUUUGGGCAUACAAGGAAGAGUACAAAGAAAAGGGGGGGGGAAUAUGAAAGAGGGGCACAUAACUAAGGCAGAAUACCAACAAAUAGUCCGAGCCUGCAAAGAUGAAGUGGGGAAAGCUAAGGCUCAAAAUGAACUAAGGCUUGCGACAAAAGUCAAAAAUAACAAAAAAAAGCUUCUUUCAACAUGUAAAAAACAAGGAAUAAGGAAAUUAUUAGACCAUUACUGGGAAAAAGUAGCAAGAAGGUGACAAGAAACAGGGAGAAAGCAGAACUAUUUAACUCGUUUUUUGCAUCUGUCUUUACACAAAGGGAAAAAACA